GAUGAUAAGUCUACGUUGUAUCUUAUCACUUAGACAGCUGAUUUAGUUAGUUGUAGAAUACAGUACACUGUAGUGAUAAAGACUAACAGUAGAGAGAAUUGUAGCAGACCAGAAGUUGUUUGAAAAUUUGUCAAGCGGAGGCAGCAGGCUUGCAAACGGGAAGGUCUUGAAAGGUGUUGGGUGGAAAUGUAAGUAUUGGAUUGCUUUCAAAGAAAUUGACAGGCUUCAAAUCAAAGCUUGCUGACACAGUAGGCAUUAUUGGAAAAUCCUCUUGGCAAGGUAUGUGGUGGAACCCUAAGGUGUACCAUACAACUAUGUCCUUGUUUUCGAUCCCCCGAUCCCGGUCCGACCAAGUUUGAAGGGUAUCCUCGCCGUGGCUUUGGUAAACGAAUUGACCGCCAGCCCACUCCUCGCUUUGGUUAUAGGGUGUAACCCAUAUUUGAUUAUUUGUAAACGCUCCUCUCCUCUGUGGGGGAUCGUCCAAAUCCAACAAGUUAGCGGCGGUGGCGGCAGGAACCACCUUGUACCCGACUGGAUUACCCACUCGAGUCUUCACAGAAGGAUUCACCACAUGAAACUCCGAUGGGUCGUACAAUUUGAGCUUAAUUUGAGCUUCUUUCUCAGUCUUGGCCACCUUUUUCACUGCUUUCAAGUAGCUUUUUCUAGGCGAUUCUCCUUUAGAAGUCCUUUGCCUUUGGAGAUUCACCUUAACAAAUGAAUUGUCGGAGCCGUCAAUGUCCAUGUCCAAGUAGAAUGUUAUGUAGUGAUCGUGAAUUACUCCGAUGACGUUUUCUGAUAACAGUGUGCCAUGGAGAUCUUCUCCCACGAAUUGGUUCGUGUUCUCAUAUGAUGUGCCUUUCACCAUUAAUAUCCCACUCAAACCCACCUUGAUUCUGAUUAGUCCAUCUGUUUGAAACUCCCAGUCGACAAUAUAGUCAUAAUUAGCCACAGAGGCCGCCAUCCUCGCCACAAGGGUCACCUUCGGCCUUACCUCAGUGAUAUCCAAGCCGGUAAUCGGGCUCUCAGCAUGCCGCCACCCGAUGUCGCCGGCGUAACUCUCAAACAAGC
rnacentral:misc_RNA from 1 species